rfam:Aedes aegypti strain Liverpool supercont1.196 genomic scaffold, whole genome shotgun sequence.
CAAUCGGCCCUUUUCAGGGCCAACAAAUGUAUUUUGAAGAGUUAUUU